UACGUAGGGACCAAGCGUUGUUCGGAUUUACUGGGCGUAAAGGGCGCGUAGGCGGCUUGACAAGUCACUUGUGAAAUCUCCGGGCUUAACUCGGAACGGCCAAGUGAAACUGUCAUGCUAGAGUGCAGAAGGGGCAAUCGGAAUUCUUGGUGUAGCGGUGAAAUGCGUAGAUAUCAGGAGGAACACCUGUGGUGUAGACAGCUUACUGGACCACUUCUGACGCUGAGACACGAAAGCGUGGGUAGCAAACAGG
rnacentral:rRNA from 1 species